AAAUUCAAGAAUUUUGAGUUGACUCCAACACUUGAGGAAAUCAGCGGAUUUAUUGACCUUCCUCACCAAUAUUGCCAAAUGAUCAUACCAGAUAGGCAAUUACAAAAGAAGCUCUUGAAAAGUCUAGGGAUGAGGUGUAAUUUGAAUCUAUAUUAUCUAGAUUCUCGAUGUAUUUCGAUGGAAUUUUAGUACUCAUGCUUUUGUGAAAAAAUUGGCAUAAAAAUUUCAAUGCAGAGUUUGGUUGUUCUAUUUAUAGUGGCAGUAAUAUCUUCUAAGAGCUUUCGUCAUCGCACUAUUGGGCUCCUUAGUCUUUCCUAUGAAAGAAAGAAAAAUUAGUACUAAUCUAGGUUAUGUGGUGUAAAUGUUAGCUCAAGGGGGACCAAAUUCUUGGAAGACUAUAGUGCCUGUGAUUUUUGUAAAUAUAAUAAGGGCUUUGAUUGCAUGUGCUAAUGGUAAAAGAUAUUUUGAAGGAGCAAUUAUGGGCCACUGAACAUUUUUAUAAGCGAGAUAACUUGUUAGACAUCUUGAGUUACAUGGGA
rnacentral:misc_RNA from 1 species